AACGUAGGCGGCAGGCUGAACACAGCAAUCCGAGCGGAAACGGCAACUUGAUCUCGGAGUUUGUGGACUCGAGCGGCGGACGGGUGAGUAAUGCUUAGGAUUUGCCCAGUCGAGGGGGUAACUAUUGGAAACGAUAGCUAAUACCGCAUACGCCCUACGGGGGAAAAGAGGGGACCUUCGGGCCUUCUGCGAUUGGAUAAGCCUAAGUGAGAUAGCUAGUUGGUGAGGUAAUGGCUCACCAAGGCGACGAUCUCUAGCUGGUCUGAGAGGAUGAUCAGCCACACUGGAACUGAGACACGGUCCAGACUCCUACGGGAGGCAGCAGUGGGGAAUAUUGCACAAUGGGCGCAAGCCUGAUGCAGCCAUGCCGCGUGUGUGAAGAAGGCCUUCGGGUUGUAAAGCACUUUCAGCAGUGAGGAAGGUAGUAGUGUUAAUAGCACUAUUAUUUGACGUUAGCUGCAGAAGAAGCACCGGCUAACUCCGUGCCAGCAGCCGCGGUAAUACGGAGGGUGCGAGCGUUAAUCGGAAUUACUGGGCGUAAAGCGCAUGCAGGUGGUUUGUUAAGUCAGAUGUGAAAGCCCUGGGCUCAACCCGGGAAGGUCAUUUGAAACUGGCAAGCUAGAGUACUGUAGAGGGGGGUAGAAUUUCAGGUGUAGCGGUGAAAUGCGUAGAGAUCUGAAGGAAUACCGGUGGCGAAGGCGGCCCCCUGGACAGAUACUGACACUCAGUGCGAAAGCGUGGGGAGCAAACAGGAUUAGAUACCCUGGUAGUCCACGCCGUAAACGAUGUCUACUUGGAGGUUGUUCCCUUGAGGAGUGGCUUUCGGAGCUAACGCGUUAAGUAGACCGCCUGGGGAGUACGGUCGCAAGAUUAAAACUCAAA
rnacentral:rRNA from 1 species